rnacentral:lncRNA from 1 species
AGUGCUGAUCAGACCUAGUAAGCACAAAGUCGCAAAUAUCCCAGACACCCUGACCACAGACACACAUGUAUACCAAGGACAGGAAUAAAUACCUAAAACUGUAAGGCACUGCCACCUUCUUAGAUGUCUUGGUGAGAGGUCCACUGUUCAGAGGGCACACUGAGAUAUAAGGCGAAGGCCUUUUUGGAUCUGUAGUGUGCUACCUCUUUAAUGGGAAAUCUUAGAGGCUAUCAGUAUUGAAUGGUGACCAGAGGAAAAUACUGCUCUACAUAUAGGUCUGGGCUGUCAUACAAACUGAUCUGCUACUGGGGCCUCAUGACCUAGCAGAUCCAAAAGUAUUCAACAUGUUUGUGGCAGAUGCAAAUGCUGUUUAGAACCUUCGAGAGGUCGCUGUAGAAGCACAAUGCAAAACUUCAGGAUUUUGGAGCAAAACUUUGUCAUCUUUUGCACACACAGUGUUCUCUUUUGAUAGCUCCUGGUGUGCUACUGGACCUUAGUAGAGAUAGAAUGUCUGACUCUGAGCCACUAAGUAACCAUUCAACCUCUUCUGCCCUUCAAGAACUGGGAAAUGUCUGAAAAAACAAGUAAUGAAACGUGUGUAUAGCAGCACUCCAUUACAAGUUGUAGUUUUAUAUACGAGAUUGGUCUCAAGCAAGACCUAAAGGUAAAAGUAAGAGGCUCAGAUUUGCAUGGCUCCUCCUCUUGCUGCAUUAACUGCUGUCUCUCAACGCAAGCAUACUGUAACAUAUUGAUGGAGGAGGAAAAUGCUGAGUCUCGUUUACUGAUAAUUCUAUGUAACAUGCUGGCAUCACCUAAAGUGGAGAACUGCGAGAUUACUGCCCCAUCCAAGAAAACCCUUCAGCAGCCCCAUUCUUCAGGAACCGUGAAGGACUAUGGCAAAGAGAUGAUAAAUAGCCAAAGACGUCAAUGGCACCCAUGGACAUAGUAAGCAUAGUAGGAGCUGAAAAACUAGAAGCAAUGACAAUGUCAACUAUUUUGAGCAAAAAGAAGCAGUGUCUUCGGAACAUUUGAUCAUAAAACCAGAAAUUAAAGGAUG